GUAGGCUACGGGGACAUGGUCCCAGUGACCAUCGGGGGCAAGAUUGUGGGUUCCCUGUGCGCCAUCGCUGGUGUGCUGACCAUUGCCCUCCCCGUGCCAGUCAUUGUGUCCAAC
rfam:Danio rerio chromosome 25, GRCz11 reference primary assembly.